AGCGAACGCUGGCGGCAGGCUUAACACAUGCAAGUCGAACGCCCCGCAAGGGGAGUGGCAGACGGGUGAGUAACACGUGGGAACGUACCCUUUGGUUCGGAAUAACUUGGGGAAACUCAAGCUAAUACCGGAUAAGCCCUUAUGGGGAAAGGUUUACUGCCGAAGGAUCGGCCCGCGUCUGAUUAGCUAGUUGGUGAGGUAAUGGCUCACCAAGGCGACGAUCAGUAGCUGGUCUGAGAGGAUGAUCAGCCACUCCGGGACUGAGACACGGCCCAGACUCCUACGGGAGGCAGCAGUGGGGAAUAUUGGACAAUGGGGGCAACCCUGAUCCAGCCAUGCCGCGUGAGUGAUGAAGGCCUUAGGGUUGUAAAGCUCUUUUACCCGGGACGAUAAUGACUGUACCGGGAGAAUAAGCCCCGGCUAACUUCGUGCCAGCCGCCGCAGUAA
rnacentral:rRNA from 1 species